rnacentral:misc_RNA from 1 species
CGCACAUUGCGCCCUUUGGUAUUCCAAAGGGCAUGCCUGUUCGAGCGUCAUUUGUACCCUCAAGCUUUGCUUGGUGUUGGGCGUCUUUUGUCUCUCCCCCGAGACUCGCCUUAAAAACAUUGGCAGCCGGCCUACUGGUUUCGGAGCGCAGCACAUUAUUUGCGCUCUUGUCCAGCCGCGGUCGCGCGUCCAUGAAGCCUUUUUUUUUUUCAACCUUUUGACCUCGGAUCAGGUAGGGAUACCCGCUGAACUUAA